GUAAAGCCUCGCACUUAACAGACUGUUUUACCGUUCUUGGUUUGAUAGGCAUAGUUUUUUAACCCCCCUGAGACAAAAGUUUUUGGAGGGGACAAA